GAUGAACGCUGGCGGCGUGCCUAAUACAUGCCAGUCGAGCGAACUUAUGAUAAGCUUGCUUCUCUGAUGUUAGCGGCGGACAGGUGAGUAACGCUUGGGUAACCUACCUAUAACAGUGGGAUAACUCCGGAAAACCGGGGCUAAUACCGGAUAAUAUAUUGAACCGCAUGGUUCAAUGUUGAAAGACGGUUUCGGCUGUCUCUUAUAGAUGGACCCUCGCCCCAUUAUCUAUUUGGUAAGGGAACAGCUUACCGAGGCAACGAGACGUAACCCACCUGAGAGGGUGAUCGGCCACCCUGCAACUGAGACCCGGUCCACACUCCUAACGCAGGCAGCAGGAAGGAAUCUUCCACCAUGGGCGAAAGCCUGACGGAUCACCGCCCCGCGACUGAUGAAUGACUUAGGAUCUCAAAUCUCUGUUGUCAGGGAAGAACAAAUAUGUUAGAUACUGAACAAAUCUUGACCGCACCUCACCAUAAAGCCACGGCUAACUACGUGCCAGCAGCCGCGGUAAUACGUAGGCGGCAAUCGUCAUCCGGAAUUAUUGGGCGUAAAGCGCGCGUAGGCGUUUUCUUUAGUCUGAUGUGACAGCCCGCGCCUCAGCCGUGGAGCGUCAUUGGAAACUGGGGAACUUGAGUGCAGAGGAGAGUGGAAUUCCAUGUGUAGCGGUGAAAUGCGCAGAGAUAUGGAAGAACACCAGUGGCGAAGGCGGCUCUCUGGUCUGUAACUGACGCUGAUGUGCGAAAGCGUGGGGAUCAAACAGAAUUAGAUACCCUGGUAGUCCACGCCGUAAACGAUGAGUGGUAAGUGUUAGGGUGUUUGCGCUCCUUAGUGCUGCAGCUAACGCAUUAAGCACUCCGCUCGGGGAGUGCGACUGCAAGGUUGAGAUUCAAAUGAAUUGACGGGACCCGCACAAGCGGUGGAGCAUGUGGUUUAAUUCGAAGCAACGCGAAGAACAUUAACAAAUCUUGACAUCGUCAGAUCGCUCUAGAGAUAGAGUUUUAGCUUUCGGUGGACAAAGUGACAGGUGGUGCAUGGUUGUCGUCAGCUAGUGUCGUGAGAUGUUGGGUUAAGUACAGUGCAACGAGCGCAACCCUUAAGUUUAGUUGCCAUCAUUAAGUUGGGCACUAUUGGUUGACUGCCGGUGACAAACCGGAGGAAGGUGGGGAUGACGUCAAAUCAUCAUGCUCCUUAUGAUUUGGGGUACACAAGUGGUGCAAUGGAUAAUACGAAGGGCAGUGAACCCGUGAGGUCAAGCAAAUCCUAUAAAAUUAUUUUCAGUUGGGAUUGUAGUAUGCAACUAGUCUACAUGAAGAAGGAAUAGUUAGUAAUAGUAGAUCAGCAUGAUACGGUGAAUAAGUUCCUGGGUGUCGUACACCCCGCCCGUCACCCCACCAGAGUUUGUAACACCAGAAGCCGGUGGAGUAACAUUUUAUUAGGAGCUAGCCGUCGAAGGUGGGAC
rnacentral:rRNA from 1 species